rnacentral:tRNA from 1 species
GCCUGGGUGGCUCAGUCGGUUGAGCGUCUGACUUUGGCUCAGGUCAUGAUCUCACGGUUCAUGGGUUCGAGCCCCACAUCAGGCU